GUCUAUUUUUGCAUUCGGAAUUGUCACAGUUUUGUCGCAUAAUAAAGACAAAUUUUGGGGGGAUUUUGGCAAUAAAAUUGAGUUUUCAUCAAUAAAAAACCCGAACCCCAAAAAAAUCAAGCAAUAGUAAAUGCCCCCUAACUGUUAGGCACCAGGACAUAUUUGACUGAUGUUAUGGUACUUGUGUGGGCUGUGUAAAUAGCUUAAACCAUUGUGUUCUGCUUUAUUGACAGGUGAUUUAUAUUGUAUAAUGUGGAGCAGUUAUAUGUGCAUGGUCAAUACUGGCUAUUGAGUCUAUUUUUCAGUCAUGGAUGUAUCUUGCACUGUACUUUUGUAUUGUUUUUAUCUAUACUGUAUGACUUAAAUAGUGUGUUCCUUAUCUGGCGAAAGAGACCCCUGGAUUUGUAUUGCACUGAGGGUAAUGCUUUGCUUCUCCCUUUCAUAUAGCAGGUCUGGUCUUCAUGCCCCUUCAGAAUGGCUGCAUGCCAACAUUAUGCUUACCUAACACAGUUUACGACUAAAGUUGCUUGCAAAAGCAAAUUGUAAUUAUUUUUGUUAUUAUUAAUUGCCGUCUUUAGAACAAUGAUGCAGGGAAUAAUACACACUUCUAUUAUAUUUUCUUCCUGUUGCUUUAUGGACGGCUCUUUUUCUGCUGUGUGACACCUCAGCUGGAGCCUGUGAUGGGUGACAAGCACAGGCUGACUAUUAGAAAUAUAAUUGCAGAGCAGGGAAGUGGCAUUGUUAGCAGUGUGAACAAGGUCUCGUUUACAGGUUAAAGUGAUGGAGAAAAAACUCAGGGUGUAAUGCAUACAUUUAACUCUUUAGAUCCAAUAGCAGUUAGCUAAUAGUCUAUAAUGCCACUGACACCAAACUAAGAAAAAACCUGAAAAGGUCAAGACAGAGAAAAUGACACGGUAGAGCAAAUAUUGUUGAAUAAAAGAGAUAUGAGAAGUGCCAACUAUAUGGUUAAAUCAAAACAAGCAACCCAUCAAGUUAUUGAAGAACAACUCCCAUAAUCCUUCUUUUAGUGGGCAGUUUACAUGGAAGUUACACUGCCCUAACCUAUUUAUAGGCCCCAUGCCUUUACCUUUUAUAUGGAAAAGCAUUAGAUCAUGAUAAUAUCAAAGAAAGAUGCAUGUAAUUUGAUUGGAUAAGAAGAGAACCUAUUUCAUAUGCUGGUGGCAAAAUUGCAAUUUUCUGCUAUUUAAUUUACGCUGCCAACAAAUAAAUGACAAUUGUUUAAGCAACGCACAAUUCUUCCUGCCUUCUUGUUCUGCACAGCAAUUGUGUAAUAAAUGUAAGAUCUUUUUGUGUUCAUGAACAGAUGGAGGGUAGCAGGUUGCACAUCCUUGAUUCAUGUUUUUUUUCUGAUACGGUGGCCCCUGCCUUUCUAUAUUUGCCUGGAGGCCCCCUCUUCUCCAAUUCUCGACCUUUCCACAAAACAGUAUAAUGCUAUGCUAGAUUUUUCCACAGCUGGUAGUAACUUCCCCCUUAUUCUGAAUAUGUACCUUCCUUGCUAAUAUGUCCUAAUCAUAACAUCCAGCAGGCAGGGCCCAGAGCUAGUAAUUACCAUUCCAAUCAACAGCCCCCUCUAUCAUUAAUGCAUCCAGCUGAGAAAAUGUGCAUGCUUUUUAGAAACCAGAUUUCUCUCCUGCUUAAUUCUGCCCUCCAUCAAAUAGAUAGUGGAGAGAGGAAAUAAAAGGGAACAGACAAUCUAGGUGUCCAGCUUACAUCCCUUUCAGUUCAUAGAAUCAUUUUAUAAAAUUGUAUGUAGAGUAUAGAUGCUAGUAAAGUAUAAUUUUAUAUAUCCCUGACACUGUAUUUUAGGACAUUUUUCUACAAACUUACAUCCAACUUAUGUUUUCAAAGCCAGGCAUGAAAAGGAACACACACAUGUUAUGCAGAAUACAUGGAAGACAGGAGUGCUGUGCUAUUUAGAUAUGAUGGGGACCCCUAUGUGGCAAUAUACAGGCAUUAAGGAAGAAAAGCGAUAAUGCUAUCUAUUGGGAUAUAUUUCACAGAGGGCUUGAAGUAAUUAUUUUAAAAGCACAUCUAUUAUGGGUGUGCUGUAAUCUUUUACCCUCUAACUGCACAGUUCCAUUGCCUCACAAACAAAAAAUAUAUUAGAAAAAAAGAACAUCAGUGUGCUACAAAAAGUGCUCUCUCUACCUUGUAUAGAUUAUUGGUUACCUAUUCUCAGAUUUACAGACAGAUGACACAGAUGAACAAAGGAACAGUAGCAAAAUGUUACCAUGCAUUCAGACAGGUUCCAAGACAGGGUAACUUUGGGAACAGAGGAGGAGUGUACGUCCACUGUGUCUGACCCUACCUACCCUGAACCUGCAGUGGAUGCUCAAGUUUCAACCCUAACCCACCUGACCGAAAGGUAAACACAUGGGUUCUGCAGGUUGCUGGUCAACAUACCAGGUGGAAAGGAGUAAAGCGCACUCUCUACACUACAAAUCCUGAUUGUCAUAGAAUCUGCAAAAUGCCAGGAAGUUUCCCUGAUGCUGCUAGAUAGCCAUUGAAAAAUAUAUGGACUGGGAGCACACAAAACCCAGGGGAUUUAGAUAGGGGAACUAAGAGUUAAAAAAAACUUUAAUGCAAUUAAAUUUAAAUUUAAUGGACUUUGUUAUUCCUGUGGUAAUGUUAAAAAAAUAAAAGAAUAUAAUUUAAUCAACACUGGGAGAAGACAGACAUAGCUCAUGAAUCAAGGUAUCACUAACGGCAGAACUUGUUUUACUGUACAUAAGAGAGAGUGAAAUGGACAUGCUUUUUUUAAGUGCUUUGCAUAUUUUGCAGUUCUUUUCUAGCUGGAAAGCAGUAAAAAUGAGACUGUUCCACUUUGUAAUGCAUCUGAGUAUUAGCAUUGUGUCAGGGCUCUGAUUAGCUCCUGAAAGGCUGGAGGCAUUAAAGACGAGCAUGGCUGGUAGGUACGGAGGAGGAGGCAGGCUGUGUGAGCAGGGAGUAAACACUGUUAUUUUCUCUAAUUGUUGUUUUUGCUGAAAGGUAAUUAAAAUCCUUUUUAUUUCACACGUCAAAGACUGCAGCGCUGGAAUGGAAUGAGGCUCAGUCAGUAACAAUGUACUGCCCAGUGGGGGAGACUGGCACAAACACUCACAGACAGUUCUACCCCCCAGCUCUGCUUUUUUAUAAGUAGUUUUCCUGUACAAACUAGUCUUGGGAGCAUCAAAACUAAUGGCACCCAAAAUGAAAUGAAUAAUUCAACUUUAUAUAAGCAAUUUGGCCAGAGGGAAAUGUAUACACAAAGUAACAGCAUUUGCCACCAAAUGAAAUCCAAAUUGGCCCAUUUAGCCUGUCCGGUUAGCUAUUUACAGAAGAAAACUCACUAGUUUAAUGAUAAUUCCAUUUUCUCUUGCAUGAUUUUUAUUUCAUCUCAGGCAUCUAAAGAGUCCAAUUACCUUUA